CUAGCACUUUCACAGGUCCUCCCCAAGGCAGUGGGGCCAGGAUUUGGUAGCUGGUGCUUAAAUUGAAAACCCUUGAUUACAUCCUUGCCUUGGGACUAUGUCAGUGGCAACUGUCAAUUGAUGGGACAGAA
ensembl:snoRNA